GCAAACUCUCACAAAAACGGACUCAGUGAUUUUGUGUGAUCACGAACACAGCAGAUGCAUAAAAUCUAAUAAAUUUAGAAGACAGAUGCAUAAAAUCUAACAAAGCAAUCAAAGAAAAUUUCUUAAUAAUACAGAAGACAGUUUCUUUUCAGUGGUUUGAAACUUCUAGGCUUUAAAUUGUUAGGAUCAUCUCAGCCCACUCUGUUAAGCUGUGGGAGAACUUUUCAUAUCUCUUGUCUGCUUUGUUCAGCAGUGUCAAAGAAGGUAGCAAGUGAUGGAGAGUGAGAGGGAGACAUUAUCUCCUGGGUAAUAUGGAAGGUACACCCUUUUGUAGUUCUGCAUUCUACUUUUUACUUGCAACUCUGUUACUUUCACCAAAGCAAAUGCCACAGUAUUUCUCCUUUGUUCUUAUGUUCUCAGGCUGUUAUUCUCAUGGUCUCACAUCUGCAAACCUUGAUGUUACAUCUGUCAUCGGAGUGAGAGUAACUCUUUCCUCCCCCUUUCACUUUUUCUUAUUUUUUUUUUUUUUCACUAAGGAAUGCCUUACUUUGCAACCACAGCUCUAUAAAAAUAUUGUCCUUUUAAAUAAUGAGUGGGCAGUGGCUCUUUUGAGAUAAAUCAGCGACACAAUUGGGAAAGCCAAGGAGACUUUUUCGCCAGACUGUAAUAGGUUUAAGAUCAGGUGAAAUUCUGGACCUAAUCUGUGCCAUACAUUUUCCCUUCUAAUUUAAAAAUUACUUUUAGUUUUACCAAGUAUUCUACUGGUAUGAAUAAAAUUUUUGAAAUUAUGAUGCAUAUUUGUGUUUCAUGUAUGUUUUACUUCUCUAAAUAUAUUACUCAUUUGUUUAAUUCAUUCAGGAAUCUACCAUACUGUCAGCCAACUACAGUAACCCAGAAAUAAGUUCUGUAUGUGGAAGAGGCUUAAUCACUAAGCCACACCUUCCUACAAAGCUCCAGUACUUUUGAUUGGUAAAAAGCAUUUCUCAUUGAAAUAAUACUGAAGUGGAGCCAAAGCCCUCCUCCAUAUACAUUACUGUUAAGUUAUUCAACUUUCCAGGACAAAACGCUGGUCACAUUCAAC
rnacentral:lncRNA from 1 species